rnacentral:rRNA from 1 species
CCUACGGGACGCAGCAGUGAGGAAUAUUGGUCAAUGGGCGCGAGCCUGAACCAGCCAAGUAGCGUGAAGGCUGACUGCCCUACGGGUUGUAAACUUCUUUUAUCAAGGCAUAAAGUGCGGCACGUGUGCCUUUUUGUAUGUACUUUAUGAAUAAGGAUCGGCUAACUCCGUGCCAGCCGCCGCGGUACUACGGAGGAUCCGAGCGUUAUCCGGAUUUAUUGGGUUUAAAGGGAUCGGAGAUUGGUUGUUAAGUCAGUUGGGAACGUUUGCGGCUCAACCGUAAAAUUGCAAUUGAUACUGGCAGUCUUGAGUACAAUUGAGGUAGGCGGAAUGCGUGGUGUAGCGGUGAAAUGCUUAGAUAUCACGAAGAACCCCGAUUGCGAAGGCAGCUUACUAAACUGCCACUGACAUUGAUGCUCGAAAGUGUGGGUAUCAAACAGGAUUAGAUACCCUGGUAGUC